GGGGUACUGUGGGAUUAUGAAGAUAAAUCUGUAAGUGGUCCGAUAAAACCUGAAAUUUCUAAGUGCAGAAAUGCUGAUGUUGGUUCAGAGUGUGGGAAGGAAAACCAGCCAAAUUCGAGUCAAGUAACUUAUUGUGGUUUAGAAAAAGCUUGCAAUCCAGGAGUUGUCAGGGAUCAAUCUUCUAAUUGUGAAAUUGUGGAGGAAUAUGAUGAUGUUAAGAGCAACCAACAGCAAUCAUCUAACUGUAAAAGGCCUAGCAUCUCAGGCUCCGCUUCUGCUUCUAUUCCAACUGCCAACUUGACUGGCCGAGGAAGGAAAAGUAUGCGGUUGUAUGAGCUGCUACAAAUGGAAUCAUGCAAUGACUUAGGUUUUAUUUCAAUGUCACUGGUUGAAAGUAAAAGGAGGAAUGCGUGGAGUUGUCAGCCAAGUUCAGAUCCUUUGGAUUCCAGACUGACUUUACUUGAACAGCAAAGAUCUUGUACAUUGAACAA
rnacentral:misc_RNA from 1 species